AUGCGGUGCGGCCGCGGGGCAGGGCCGGCCCCAUCCCGGCAGCCGUGCCGCCAAAAAAGGGGGAUAUUUUGGUCGCUUUCUCUUUUGUUUUUGGUAAAAGUGGGGCAUGCACUCACGUCUAGGGCUCUGCCCCGCCUGGGAACGGCACGCUCUCAGCAGAAGAGGAAACCCCAAGAGCGGGAAGCUGCGCUGAGCACCGGGGCUGUCGCCACGGCCGAGAGGGGCACCGAGGGGUGCGGGGGGAUCGGGCAGCCGGGAAGGGCAGCGGAGCCCCGGUCCGGGGUGGCACAGCCCCGGUGGGCGAUGCUGGGCUGGCUGCUGGCGGCGCUGGCGGCGCUGGUGCAGGGCGGCACCCUGGCAGCCCACGUCUCCUGCUGGAUGAAAUGCAGCACCCCCAAGCCUUUCCACUGCUCCUGGCCGCCCCUCGGCCCGGCCGGCAACACCUCCUACAUCCUGAACCUCUGGUGAGUUGGGCAGCGCGGCGGGGAGGGGGAGCCCAUGGGAUGAGUCCCGGGUGCCACCCUGUGCCUGCUCCCUCCCCAGUUUUGAGAAGCGUGGCCUGUGCAGAUGGUUUGAGGCGGGCACGGCGACCAACUACAGCCCCUCACGUAGCCAAGUGUACAUCUUUGAUAACACCACGGCCUGGGUGGAGGCACACUGGGGGGACCAGGUCCACAGGACCCCCAACCACACCCUGCCCCUCAACGAGGCUGUCAAACUGGAUGCACCNNNNNNNNNNNNNNNNNNNNCACUGGGAUGUCCUUCUCCGAGACCGGAGGCCAGCUGAGGGUGAGGGUGCCACAGCCACAGUGCAACAGCCUGAAGCAGCCACUGAAGCAGCCCCCACAGCACGAGGCUCGCUUCUGGAGGGCGGGAGACAGCAGCUGGACACAGGUGACAUGUGAGACAGUGAUGGUGACUGCUAAAGAAAACUCAGUGACCUGUGCCCUGGGGGUCAAUGGCACCUUCGUGGUCCAGCUCCGGCACAAGCCUCCCCACUGGAGCAGCUACUGGAGUGACUGGAGCAGCAACAUCUCUGAGGGAAUCCUGAGGAGGCCGGUGCUGAGCCAUCAGCUGGGCAAACUGGGGAGAGACGGGCAGCGGGUGCUGAGGCUGAGCUGGCAGCCAGUCCUCAUGGAGCGAAAGGAUGUCACCUACAGGCUGAACAUCAGCAUGCUGGCGUGUGGCUGUGCAGGGUCAGAUGAGGAGGACACGGUGGAGCUGGGCGGGGAGGUGACAGAGCACAACCUCACCCUCUCCGGGGCGGAGUACGAAAUCCUGCUGACCGCCGCCAAUGCCGCGGGGCAGGGGCCGGCGCAGCAGCUCCGUGUGCCGGCAGAGCAGCUCGCAGAUCUCAGCUUCAAGGAGAUCAGCGUGGCCGGCAGCACCGUGACUGCGCAGUGGGAAGCGCCGGUGCCCGGAGAUGCUUUCUGCUUCGAGCAGCAGACCCUGUCAGAGCCUCCGAAACAGGGAGUCUGCAUCCAGCAGGAAUUCCCUGCCAACAGCAUCCACGAGCAGAGAGGCAAGGGAGCCCCCCAAGACCCCGCUGUCCCCCCAGCCGGGGUCAGAGGGUCUAACCAGCAGCCCCGGUUCCCCCAGGAGCGCUGGGAGCGCGGGGCUGUCACCUCCUCGCCGUGCACGGCCGGGACACGGAGCGGGGCUGGGCCACCUUCGCCCUGUGGCACCGCUACAGCAGCAACGGUGAGUGUGGAGCACGGAGCACCCGGGCACGGAGCAUCCGCACCCGGCUGCACUGCAGAAGGGGCGCUCCUGAAAUAA
rnacentral:lncRNA from 1 species